rnacentral:rRNA from 1 species
UACGAAGGGGGCUAGCGUUGUUCGGAAUUACUGGGCGUAAAGCGCGUGUAGGCGGGUCUUUAAGUCAGGGGUGAAAUGCCAAGGCUCAACCCUUGGAACUGCCUUUGAUACUGGAGACCUUGAGUCCGGGAGAGGUGAGUGGAAUUGCGAGUGUAGAGGUGAAAUUCGUAGAUAUUCGCAAGAACACCAGUGGCGAAGGCAGGCUCACUGGCCCGGAACUGACGCUGAGAUGCG